UCAAGCGGUCCCGCCGUCCGCGGCUCCAGCGUUGGGUGCAACACGCCCAGGCGCGCCAGAACGCAUCUUCGCAAGUGGCGGUUCUUGAGUCCGUUGUGGUUGCCCCAUCGUCCCAGCACUCGGACUCGGUUCCGACUGAGUUUCCUUCCGAGUAUGCGGGUCACGGGCCCGCAGCAGAAGUACACAUGGCCAACUCCCAUGAAG
rnacentral:lncRNA from 1 species